rnacentral:snRNA from 1 species
GUGCUCAGCAGCACAUAUACUAAAAUUAGAAUGAUACAGAGAAGAUUAGCAUGGUCCUUGCACAAGGAUGACACACAAAUUCAUGAAGCAUUCAAUAUUUUU